rnacentral:tRNA from 1 species
GGCAUGGUGGCUCAGUCGUUAGAGCGCCCUCAUGAACGGGAGGUCGUGGGUUCGAACCCCGGCCGAGUCA